ensembl:lncRNA
CUAUGGGGUGGUUAUGGGGUGGCUAUGGGUCCCAUGGGGUGGUUAUGGGGUGGCUGUGGGGUGGUUAUGGGUCCCAUGGGGGGGUUAUGGGGUGGUUAUGGGUCCCAUGGGGGGGUUAUGGGGUAGCUAUGGGUCCCAUAUAGGUCCUAUGGGGUGGCUAUGGGUUCCAUGGGGGUUAUGGGGUGGCUAUGGGUCCCAUAUAGGUCCUAUGGGGUGGCUGUGGGUCCCAUGGGGGGGUUAUGGGGUGGCUGUGGGUCCUAUGGGGUGGCUGUGGGUCCCAUGGGGGGUUAUGGGUCCCAUGGGGUGGUUAUGGGGUGGCUGUGGGUCCCAUGGGGGGGUUGUGGGUCCCAUGGGGGGGUUAUGGGGUGGCUAUGGGUCCCAUAUGGGUCCCAUGGGGUGGCUAUGGGUCCCAUAUGGGUCCUAUGGGAUGGCUAUGGGUCCUAUGGGGUGGCUGUGGGUCCCAUGGGGUGGUUCUGGGUCUCAUAGGUGGGUUAUGGUUCCCAUAUGGGUCCUAUGGGGUGGCUGUGGGUCCCAUGGGGGGGUUAUGGGUCCCAUAUGGGUCCCAUGGGGGUUAUGGGUCCCAUGGGGGGGUUAUGGGGUCUCCCCCCCCCCGUGGUUCUGACCCCCCCCCCUUUAUCAGCCCAAUGACCCUGUCACCAACAUCUGCCAUGCUGCUGACAAGCAGCUCUUCACCCUCGUCGAGUGGGCCAAGAGGAUCCCCAGGUUCUCAGCGCUGCCAUUGGACGACCAGGUCAUCCUGCUCAGGGCCGGGUUCUGACGGAGCUGGUGUCGAAGAUGCGGGACAUGAGGAUGGACAAGACGGAGCUGGGCUGCCUCAGGGCCAUCAUCCUCUUUAACCCAGGGUCCUUAUGGGGUUAUGGGGACAAGACGGAGCUGGGCUGCCUCAGGGCCAUCAUCCUCUUUAACCCAGGUACAUAUAGGGCCAUAUAGGAUCCUAUAGGGUCUUAUAGGGCCAUAUAGGGUCCUUAUGGGGUUAUGGGGUCCUUAUGGUGUCACUAUGGGGUCCUUAUGGGGUUAUAGGGUCUCUAUGGGGUCCUAUAGGGUCCUUAUGGGGUUAUGGGGUCCUAUAGGGUCCUUAUGGGGUUAUGGGGUCCUAUAGGGUCCUUAUGGGGUUCUUAUGGGGUUAUGGGGUCCCUAUGGGGUCCUUAUAGGGUUAUGGGGUCCCUAUGGGGUCCUUAUGGGGUCACUAUGGGGUCACUAUGGGGUCCUUAUGGGGUUAUGGGGUCACUAUGGGGUCCUUAUGGGGUCCUUAUGGGGUUAUGGGGUCCCUAUGGGGUCCUUAUGGGGUCCUUAUGGGGUCCUUAUAGGGUUAUGGGGUCACUAUGGGGUCCCUAUGGGGUCACUAUGGGGUCCUUAUAGGGUUAUGGGGUCCCUAUGGGGUCCUUAUGGGGUCCUUAUAGGGUUAUAGGGUCACUAUGGGGUCCCUAUGGGGUCCUUAUGGGGUUAUGGGGUCUCUAUGGGGUCCUUAUGGGGUCCUUAUGGGGUUAUGGGGUCACUAUGGGGUCUCCAUGGGGUCCUUAUAGGGUUAUAGGGUCCCUAUGGGGUCCCUAUGGUGUCCCUAUGGGGUCCUUAUGGGUUUAUGGGGUCACUAUGGGGUCCCUAUGGGAUCCUUAUGGGGUCCUUAUGGGGUUAUGGGGUCACUAUGGGGUCCCUAUGGGGUCCUUAUGGGGUUAUGGGGUCACUAUGGGGUCCCUAUGGGGUCCUUAUGGGGUUAUGGGGUCACUAUGGGUUCCCUAUGGGGUCCCUAUGGGGUCCUUAUAGGGUUAUGGGGUCACUAUGGGGUCCUUAUGGGGUCCUUAUGGGGUUAUAGGGUCACUAUGGGGUCCCUAUGGGGUCCUUAU